UGGGCCACUAACCGAACUGGGCCAAACAAUUGGCUAUUUUUAGCCCAAAAUAUGAAAUGGACUGGAUUUUUUUUUUUCGCACGCACGCACACAUCAGGGCCCGGCAAUCAGAACCACUCCAUAGUCUCCAUUACGAAGACCUAAUUAAUCUCAUUCCCGUUCAGUCAUUUCAUCCGACUUCCAACGUUUCUUUUUUCUUUCCUAAUUCCGAUUCACUACGAUUCUGCGACAAAGGAGGGCUUGGCUAGGGGCUGUGGUUCUUGAGUCUUGACCUCUGAAUGUAGCUGGAUUAUUUUUGACACACUAGAGUCCAGACACGUAUCAGGUACUUACACGAGUAAGAAUUUCCAACAAUGGAUGUUGUUAAUGUCAUUUUUAAACCAGUUGCCGAGACACUUAUGGAACCUGUUAAGAAACAUAUGUGCUACCUCAUUUCCAGCACAAAAUAUGUGAGGGAUAUGAGUAGAAAAAUGAGGGAGUUGGAUGCUGCAAGACAAGUUGAAGAAGACCAUUUGGACAGGAACAUUAGAACUCGUCUUGAGAUUUCAUAUCAAGUUAAGAGUUGGUUGGAAGAAGUAGAAAAGAUCGAUGCAAAAGUAAAAAACGUUCCUAGUGGUCAAGAGAAAAAACUUUUACUUGAAAGCACUUGAACCAAACAACACAUCCCACAUGAUAGCGUUAUGUGGGAUAGGUGGAGUGGGGAAGACCACAAUGAUGCAAAGACCGAAGAAGGUUGCUAAAGAAAAUAAAAUGUUCAAUUAUAUGGUUGAGGUAGUACUCAAUUGUUAUUCAACAAGCUAUAUCGGAUUAAACUUAUGCAUGGAGAUAAGUCUUUGAGGUUUCCUCAAGACUUUUAUGAAGGAAUGGAAAAGCUCCAGGUUAUAUCAUACAAUAAAAUGAAGUAUCCAAUGCUUCCCUCGUCACCUCAAUACUCCACCAACUUUCGAGUAAUUCAUCUCCAUGAAUGUUCAUUAAGGAUGUUUGUUCUAUUGGAAAUAUGUUGAAUCUAGAAGUGCUAAGUUUUGUUAAUUCUAUGGUUACCUUCCACAGUCAGAAAUUUAAAGAGGCUAAGGCUACUUGAUCUGAGCUAUUGUGGUGGUCCUCGUAUAGGACAGGGUGUCUUCAAAAUUUUGGUCAAACUUGAAGAACUUUAUAUUGGAAAUGCGUCUGAGUUUAUGGAUGAUAACUACAAUGAGAUGAAUCUUAUAGUAACAGCAAACAUUAAUUCGGAAACACGUUGUAGUUGAUGUCAAAUAAAGGUGAAGUAUUGGACUUUAAACUUAAUGAGUUGUUUGUGAAAACAGAUGUGCUUUGUUUAAGUGUGGAUGAUAUGAAUGAUCUUGAAGAUGUGGAGGUGAAGUCAACACAUCCUCCUCAAUCCUGCUAUUCGUUUUGCAAUUUAAGAGUCCUUGUCGUUUUUGGGUUUGAAAGGGUGUAUUGGAAAUUCUUCCAAGAUCUUGGAGAGAGUUAGCUCGAGCAUUGGGGGUCGUUGUAUCUGCCAUGAUGCCAUGAUUGGAGCCUACAUAGGGAGAGUAUCCUCUAUAUGAUUCUCUAAAGAUCUACCUGUCUUAAAAUUCAGGAUCCUAGGUCGCAUGAAUGAAGAUGUAGGUGGUAUGGAUUCAACAUGUAUUCUUAUUUCAAAUUUUAACUUCUCUAUUUGCUCAAGCAGCAUCUUGUUGGUUUUAUGUGGCACCCAUUUUCUUGUUUCGUCUAUAAAAACAUUGAGAAUAUCUCGUUAUUGGA